CCUACGGGUGACAGCAGUGAGGAAUAUUGGUCAAUGGGCGGAAGCCUGAACCAGCCAAGUAGCGUGCGGGAUGAAGGCCCUACGGGUCGUAAACCGCUUUUGCACGGGGAUAACACCCUCCACUUGUGGAGGUCUGCAGGUACCGUGCGAAUAAGGGCCGGCUAAUUCCGUGCCAGCAGCCGCGGUAAUACGGAAGGCCCGAGCGUUAUCCGGAUUCAUUGGGCUUAAGGGGAGCGUAGGCGGGCGUUCAAGUCAGCGGUAAAAUCGACCGGCUCAACCGCGCCCCGCAGUUGAAACUGGAAGACUUGAGUUCACAACAGGCAGGCGGAAUUCGUGGUGUAGCGGUGAAAUGCAUAGAUAUAACGAGGAACCCCGAUUGCGAAGGCAGCCUGCCGGGGUGCGACUGACGCUGAGGCUCGAAGGUGCGGGUAUCAAACAGGAUUAAUACCCCUGGUAGUC
rnacentral:rRNA from 1 species